rnacentral:rRNA from 1 species
GACAGAGGUGCCGAGCGUUAGGCGGAAUCACUGGGCUUAAAGCGUGUGUAGGCGGACUUCUAAGUACCUUGUGAAAUCCCACGGCUCAACCGUGGAACUGCUUGGUAUACUGGUCGUCUUGAGCCAUCUAGGGGCUGUCGGAACAAAUGGUGGAGCGGUGAAAUGCGUAGAUAUCAUUUGGAACGCCAAAGGUGAAAACAGACAGCUGGGGAUGUGCUGACGCUGAGACGCGAAAGCGUGGGGGAGCAAACAGG